UAGUCCGGAUUGGAGUCUGCAACUCGACUCCAUGAAGUCGGAAUCGCUAGUAAUCGUGAAUCAGAAUGUCACGGUGAAUACGUUCCCGGGCCUUGUACACACCGCCCGUCACACCAUGGGAGUGGGCUGCAAAAGAAGUGGGUAGUUUAACCUUUCGGGGAGGACGCUCACCACUUUGUGGUUCAUGACUGGGGUGAAGUCGUAACAAGGUAGCCCUAGGGGAACCUGGGGCUGGAUCACCUCCUUAUACGAUGAU
rnacentral:rRNA from 2 species